rnacentral:piRNA from 1 species
CUACAAAUUGGAUAUACUAGAAU